UUGCACCUUUUUUAUUUUUCUUCUUUUAAAUACCUAACCUUUAGUUUUUGUCUGGAAUUUAUCCGGCGACCGGUUUUUUCUUACGCCGGCGUCGGAAAUGCCACUGUGGCAGUCGGAAUCGACGAGGUGGCAGCCGGAAUUCUCCACUUGGCUCAUUUUUUACAUGUGGCAAAAAAAUCUAAAAAAAAUGAAAUAAAAAUACAUGUGGAAAUAAAAAUUUAAAAAAAAGGAAAAAAAAAGAAAAUCAACCCCCUUCCCCCCCAAUCAUCAUUUCCCUCACCCCAAACCCUAACUCUCCCUCUCCCCACCCGGCGCCGCCCCCUGCCACCUCCACCACCGCCGGCGCCGCCACCCGCAGCCACCACCACCAACGUUCUACCGCCUGGAGCAACGGAAGAAGCUCCAGAUCUCGAUCAAGCUCCACCCGCCGCCGUCC
rnacentral:lncRNA from 1 species